rnacentral:lncRNA from 1 species
ACAUAUUAACUUAAGUUCAACCUUACACAAAGAAGUAAUUGCAGCCCCAAUACCAACCCCAAUAGUUACAAAUCACUCUCCAAAUACCUCACAAUACAAUCAAUAAGCCUCUCUCCAAAUAAUACCUAAAAUAGUGUCACAAAAUAAUCACUAGAAAACAUAGCAAAGCUGUCGACAAAGACACUUCAGAAACUGUUAUUGAU